GGAGAUGUAGCGAAGUGGUCGUAACGCGAACGACUCGAAAUCGUUUGAGGGCUUAUAAACCCUCCGUGGGUUCGAAUCCCACCAUCUCCGCCA
rnacentral:tRNA from 1 species